rnacentral:sRNA from 1 species
GCCAGUGUGGGCGCAGACACUGCGCACUGUUUUUUUUUGCAGUUCUUGCGUUCAGUCAGUUUACUUACUACAAGUAAUGGGUACUAUGUACGCCGGCCAGUUUCUCUUUUCUGAGAGA